GAUUAAGCCAUGCAUGUGUAAGUGCACACUCUAGAACAGUGAAACUGCGAAUGGCUCAUUAAAUCAGUCAUGGUUUAUUUGAGAAUUAACCUACUUGGAUAACUCUGGUAAUUCUAGAGCUAAUACAUGCCUAACGCUCCGGCCUCGCGGCUGGGGUCGCUUUUAUUAGUACCAAGACCAAUACGCGCUUCGGCGCGUACCCUCUGGUGAAUCUGAAUAACGAGUCGAUCGCACGGUCAUCGCACCGGCGACGCAUCAUUCAAGUGUCUGCCCUAUCAACUUUCGAUGGUAGGAUAUUGGCCUACCAUGGUUGCAACGGGUGACGGGGAAUCAGGGUUCGAUUCCGGAGAGGGAGCCUGAGAAACGGCUACCACAUCCAAGGAAGGCAGCAGGCGCGCAAAUUACCCAAUCCCGACUCGGGGAGGUAGUGACGAAAAAUAACGAUACAGGAUCUUCUACGAUCUUGCAAUUGGAAUGAGUACACUUUAAAUCCUUUAACGAGGACCAAUUGGAGGGCAAGUCUGGUGCCAGCAGCCGCGGUAAUUCCAGCUCCAAUAGCGUAUAUUAAAGUUGCUGCGUUUAAAAAGCUCGUAGUUGGAUUUCAGGGGACGGACCGCGGUUCCCUUCGUGGGGUCUACUGCGGUGCGGACCUUUAAGUCAGUGCGGCUCCGAAUCGCGUGCACUUCAUCGUGUGCCGAUGCGGUCCGCAACGUUUACCUUGAAAAAAUUAGAGUGCUCAAAGCAGGCGCUAUCGCCCGGAUAUUUCAGCAUGGAAUAAUGGAACAGGACCUCGCGUUCAGUUCUGUUGGUCUCCCGGACCGAGGUAAUGAUUAUUAGGAACAGACGGGGGCAUUCGUAUUGCGGCGACAGAGGUGAAAUUCUUGGACCGCCGCAAGACGAACAAGUGCGAAAGCAUUUGCCAAGAAUGUUUUCAUUAAUCAAGAACGAAAGUUAGAGGAUCGAAGGCGAUCAGAUACCGCCGUAGUUCUAACCAUAAACGAUGCCGACCGGCGAUCUGCAAACGAGCUUUAUAUCUUUGCAGGCAGCCCUGGGGAAACCAGAGUGUUUUGGUUACGGGGGAAGUAUGGUUGCAAAGCUGAAACUUAAAGGAAUUGACGGAAGGGCACCACCAGGAGUGGAGCCUGCGGCUUAAUUUGACUCAACACGGGAAAACUCACCCGGCCCGGACACAGUAAGGAUUGACAGAUUGAGAGCUCUUUCUUGAUUCUGUGGGUGGUGGUGCAUGGCCGUUCUUAGUUGGUGGAGUGAUUUGUCUGGUUAAUUCCGAUAACGAACGAGACUCCAACCUGUUAAAUAGGAUGGGGCGCCCAGCGUGGAGCCUCGACGCCUUCUUAGAGGGACAAUCGGCGUUUAGCCGGAUGAGAUGGAGCAAUAACAGGUCUGUGAUGCCCUUAGAUGUUCGGGGCCGCACGCGCGCUACACUGAAAGAGUCAACGUGUGCCCACCCUACUCCGAAAGGAGCGGGUAACCCUGUGAGCCCCUUUCGUGAUGGGGAUAGGGGAUUGCAAUUAUUCCCCUUGAACGAGGAAUUCCCAGUAAGUGCAAGUCAUAAGCUUGCAUUGAUUACGUCCCUGCCCUUUGUACACACCGCCCGUCGCUACUACCGAUUGAAUGAUUUAGUGAGAUCUUCGGAUCGGAGCCUGUCGGCCGCUUCGGUGGCCGUUGCGCUCCGAGA
rnacentral:rRNA from 1 species